rnacentral:tRNA from 1 species
UCCACCAUAGCAUAACAUGCAGCUGGCUUCCACCCUUCCCAUCUUAGUACUACCUAAGUGGUGGCA